rnacentral:rRNA from 1 species
AGUGAACGCUGGCGGUAGGCCUAACACAUGCAAGUCGAACGGCAGCACAGUAAGAGCUCGCUUUUACGGGUGGCGAGUGGCGGACGGGUGAGGAAUACAUCGGAAUCUACUUUUUCGUGGGGGAUAUCGUAGGGAAACUUACGCUAAUACCGCAUACGACCUACGGGUGAAAGCAGGGGAUCUUCGGACUUUGCGUGUUUGAAUGAGCCGAUGUCGGAUUAGCUAGUUGGCGGGGUAAAGGCCCACCAAGGCAACGAUCCGUAGCUGGUCUGAGAGGAUGAUCAGCCACACUGGAACUGAGACACGGUCCAGACUCCUACGGGAGGCAGCAGUAGGGAAUAUUGGACAAUGGGCGCAAGCCUGAUGCAGCCAUGCCGCGUGGGUGAAGAAGGCCUUCGGGUUGUAAAGCCCUUUUAUUAGGAAAGAAAAGCAGCAUGUUAAUACCCCGCUGUUCUGACGGUACCCAAAGAGUAAGCACCGGCUAACUUCGUG